UACACAGUAUAUAUGUAGAGGGUAGUAGAGGAAGAGCGCGGUAAUCGGCGCCAGUGGGAUCGUGGUGGUUGAAGGAGUUGCUGUUGUUAGUGUCUGUGGUCAGCACGUAGUGCUCUCCCUUUUUUAAAACAAAAUUCGACAUGGCUGACCAACUUACUGAGGAGCAGAUUGCUGCUACCACGAAAAUUUUUGGAAUCCUAUGUCAAAGCUAACUCCUAUCAGUGACCACACUCAACUACUUGGUGUCUUCAAGUUGCUAAGAAACAGUAUUACAUCAGUUUCCACACGUGGAGGUGUUACAGUUGCAAGCCUGAACAUGCUGGCACUGUGGCUGACUACAUUCAUUAGAUUGAUUGGUGUAUUGUCAAACUUUGAGGUAAGCAGUGGAGUGAAGUGCCUGUUGCUUGGUUUAAAUGUUGAAGCAUUAGUGGGAUGUGCCAGGAUGUUAGCUAUUGCGAUCUGACAACAUGGAGGCUGUAUGGGUAGAGUGGAGAAAUAACAACAAGGGGCAAAAAACAUUUGUGGGUGUCAUGUAUAGAUGCCCCAAACUGUAUUGGUGAUGUUGGGAAUGGCAUCUCUAAUUUCCUGUUUAAUGCAUGGGAUAAGGGAAUAUUGGUGAUCAUGGGUGACUUUGAUCUGCACAUUGAUUGGGCAAAUUAAAUUAGCCACAAUGCUGUAGAGAAGGAAUUUCUGGAAUGUAUACAGGAUGGUUUUCUUGACCAAUGUGUGGAGAAACCAACUAAAAACCAGGCCAUCUUAGACUGGUACUGUAAUGAGAAGGGAAUCAUUACCAAUCUGCCUGUGAGAGAACCCUUGGACGAGCAAUCAUAACAUAAUACAUUUUUGUUUAUCAAGAUGGUGAGUGAGAUAAUUGAUUUGGACACUAGCGUGCUCAACCUUUAAAGGAAAGUAUGAAAUAGGGUGCUAAUCUUAAUGAAGGAAACUCUGAAGAUAUGAGGGAUGACUUGGCCUUGGUAGAUUGGGGAGAGUGACUGAAAGGAAUGACAGUGGAUAGGCAAUUGCAAAUAUGCAAGGAAUACAUGUGGGAACUGCAACUACAAAAAAGUGGCUCAGUGGUUAGCACUGCUGCCUCAGUGUUAGCAACCUAGGUUUGAUUCCAGCCUUGGGCAGAUCUAAAGUGUCCCAGAACGUUGUUGAGGAAGGAAAUUGAGAUCCCUUGCAGAAAUAUUUGCAUCAUCUACAACUACAGGUGAGGUGCCUGAUAACUGGAGGCUGGCUAAUGGUUGUAAGGAAAAACCAG